AAUACCUUUAAUAUGGUCACAAGUGGGAUCAAAGGUGGCAAGAUUUUCACCACCCACAAUUAAAAACAAAGAAAGGAGAACAGAAUGAACCAAAUGAACUGAAAUGGAUCAGAAAAUGGAUGGGGAAAAUUCCAGCUCUUUCUCUCUGGUAUUAUGGUCAAGCAGAAGAAGAAGAAGAAAAAACCUUGAGAAAAUAGAAGGCAACUGUUUUCUGUUCCUGGUUGCAAAUAAUCCUACAGGCAAUUUUCUCACAUUGCAGCUAUUCCUUGAAAGCAGAUCCAUUUUUCCUUGCUUUUGCCUUUAGCCCCUGUCCAGUUCUGCCACGUGUUUCAAGUUGGAGUGACCAGAGCAUGUGCGUUAUCUCCUCCUACCUGCUUCACAGUGCCCUCUAUAUCUGCCACAUCCGGAGGUCUCCCACCUAAAAUAAACAUCAGUGUGGUGCCCCACAGACUUUGGGGAGAUUUACUGAACAUAAUGCCACGUGUCUGUGCCCAGGGGUGUUCACAGCAGGUUUCCUGCAGCCCAGUGCCCUCCAGGAUGUACAUCCCAGACAUGUUCCAGAGCUACCAAAGAGUUGCGGUGUGCACAAGCCUAGUGGACCUACAAGCAAGUCAGUGUAGGACAUCCUAGUCCUGCUAAUGAAGAUGUUAUCUCUGGAAACUUUCUGCACUGCUCAGCACUGGUGCCAUCCAACUGCCAAAUAGUGACUGCAGCAACAUCCAGGAGCACUGGGGGAGUCUGCCAGUUGUAGCCACCCUCUCCCUUCCAUGUCUGAGUGUCUCUGCAGAAAUCUGUGUUUGAAGGAACCCAAUUGGCUGGUUCCUGUCAGUCUGUCUCAUGUUUCAUAGUCUCAAGUUAUUAGUUAAGAAGAUGCCAGACCUAGAGGGGUCCUCUGCAGCAAAAAGGCUAUGCCACCUGAAAACUGAUAGAAGCUUUAUAUUCUGAGCCGAAAGCAAAUGAGUGCAACGACCGUGGGCCCAUCUGGGGCUGCUCCAAACUGCUGUCAUUAGCGGAGAAGUCAAUGGGCUCAUCAACAAGACAACAAGAGAAGAGACCACAGAGCUACAAUUUUACUGGAGACCAGGAAAAGGAAUUCCAGGCAUCAGCUGCAUUAGGGAUGUUUCUCUUCCAGCACUGGAGGCUGAAUUUAGAGAUGUACUGAAGUAGCUCCUGGGCCUUGUUUUGUCCCUGUGAGACACCAGGCUGAGCACUUGGCCUGGAUCCCUGUUGGGAGGGGUGGGAAUCCCACCUUUCCUGCUUCUUCUGGAGCUGUGGGAUAACGGGCGAGGCAGAGUCGCUGAUCCGGGGUGGGAGCUGUGGGGAUUUAUUCCCUUGUUGUUCUUUGCACAGCAGGCACUGGGGCAAAUGUUUAUCAGGAAAGAAAAACCAGAGGGUUGAACAGAACUAAAGAGGAAUUGCAGCAUGUUUCAACAGUUUUCUCCCAGGCAUUGUACCAGCUUUUGCUUUGCACACCUCUACCAAAAUUAAACAGUGUUUUGAAUUUA